rnacentral:rRNA from 1 species
AGGUUAAUUGAUGGGGUUAUCUUCGGAGAAGCUCUUGAUCGAAGCCCCGGUAAACGGCGGCCGUAACUAUAACGGUCCUAAGGUAGCGAAAUUCCUUGUCGGGUAAGUUCCGACCUGCACGAAUGGCGUAACGAUGGCCACACUGUCUCCACCCGAGACUCAGUGAAAUUGAAAUCGCUGUGAAGAUGCAGUGUACCCGCGGCUAGACGGAAAGACCCCGUGAACCUUUACUAUAGUUUUGCACUGGACUUUGAUGAUGACUGUGUAGGAUAGGUGGGAGGCUGUGAAGUGAGGACGCUAGUUCUCAUGGAGCCGCCCUUGAAAUACCACCCUGUUGUUAUUGAGGUUCUAACUUGGUCCAGUAAUCCUGGAUGAGGACAGUGUAUGAUGGGUAGUUUGACUGGGGCGGUCUCCUCCCAAAGAGUAACGGAGGAGCACAAAGGUACCCUCGGUACGGUCGGACAUCGUACCAAGAGUGUAAAGGCAAAAGGGUGCUUGACUGCGAGAGUGACGGCUCGAGCAGGAACGAAAGUUGGUCUUAGUGAUCCGGUGGUUCUGAAUGGAAGGGCCAUCGCUCAACGGAUAAAAGGUACUCCGGGGAUAACAGGCUGAUACCGCCCAAGAGUUCAUAUCGACGGCGGUGUUUGGCACCUCGAUGUCGGCUCAUCACAUCCUGGGGCUGAAGCAGGUCCCAAGGGUAUGGCUGUUCGCCAUUUAAAGUGGUACGCGAGCUGGGUUUAGAACGUCGUGAGACAGUUCGGUCCCUAUCUGCCGUGGGCGUAGGAAAAUUGAGAGGAGCUGCUCCUAGUACGAGAGGACCGGAGUGGACGAACCUCUGGUGCACCGGUUGUCACGCCAGUGGCAUGGCCGGGUAGCUAAGUUCGGACGGGAUAACCGCUGAAAGCAUCUAAGCGGGAAGCCUCCCUCAAGAUGAGUUUUCCCAUGAAGCCCGUUGAAGACUACGACGUUGAUAGGCAAGGUGUGGAAGCGCAGUAAUGCGUGAAGCUAACUUGUACUAAUUGGCUGAUUGUCUUGACCAUAUAAUCUGAG